GAUUCAUGACUGGGGUGAAGUCGUAACAAGGUAGCCGUAGGGGAACCUGCGGCUGGAUCACCUCCUUAAU
rnacentral:rRNA from 1 species